rnacentral:rRNA from 1 species
UACGUAGGUGGCAAGCGUUGUCCGGAUUUACUGGGCGUAAAGGGCGUGCAGGCGGUCUGUUAAGUCUAGGGUGAAAGCUCCCGGCUCAACUGGGAGAGGUCCUUGGAUACUGGCGGACUUGAGGGAGGCAGAGGAAAGUGGAAUUCCCGGUGUAGUGGUGAAAUGCGCAGAUAUCAGGAGGAACACCAAUGGCGAAGGCAGCUCGCUGGGACGGUACUGACGCUGAGACGCGAAAGCGUGGGGAGCAAACAGG